UGAAAUAAAGGAAGUGGGAGGCGGAGAGGUUGGCUGGCUGGUUUCUACCAGAGCAAUUUGCCAAGAGUGUCCCU
ensembl:lncRNA